GACGAACGCUGGCGGCGUGCUUAACACAUGCAAGUCGAGCGGUAAGGCCCUUCGGGGUACGACGAGCGGCGAACGGGUGAGUAACACGUGGGUGACCUGCCUCUAGCUCUGGGAUAAGCCUGGGAAACUGGGUCUAAUACCGGAUAUGACUCCACGGCGCAUGUUGUGGGGUGGAAAGCCUUGUGUGGCUAGAGAUGGGCCCGCGGCCUAUCAGCUUGUUGGUGGGGUGAUGGCCUACCAAGGCGACGACGGGUAGCCGGCCUGAGAGGGCGACCGGCCACACUGGGACUGAGACACGGCCCAGACUCCUACGGGAGGCAGCAGUGGGGAAUCUUGCGCAAUGGGCGAAAGCCUGACGCAGCGACGCCGCGUGAGGGAUGACGGCCUGGUGUAACU
rnacentral:rRNA from 1 species